rnacentral:tRNA from 1 species
UUCCUGGUGGCUUAGAUGGGAAAGAAUCUGCCUGUAAUGCAGGAGACCCAGGUUUGAUCCCUGAUCGGGAAG